AUGCUGGUGUAUGUUGAUAAUAUUGUGAUUGCUGGCUUUACCCCUGCUGUGGUGGAUCGUUUUGUGCAGUCGUUGUCUGCUAGCUUUCCCAUCAAAGACUUGGGUCGCCUCGAGUACUUUUUUGGUUUGGAAGCGUUCUUUCAUUCAAGGGGCAUGACCUUGACGCAGAAAAAGUAUGCUUUGGAUCUUCUUCAUCACGUCAACAUGGAGAACUGCAAGGCCACUUCCACUCCGCUUGCUACAUCCGAGAGUCUCUCACGUUAUAGUGGUGCACUACUGGGUAGAGAUGACUCCUUUCGGUAUCGCAGUGUGGUUGGAGCACUUCAGUAUUUGACCCUCACCCGCCCUGAUAUCUCCUUCGCAGUGAACAAAGUGUGUCAGUUCCUGUCUCAAUCAACGGAGGAUCAUUGGAAAGCAGUCAAGCGUAUUCUGAGAUAUUUCAAAGGUAUGCUAGACAUGGACUACGGAUUCGUAACUCCAGAUUCACUGGAGUGA
rnacentral:rRNA from 1 species